CUCUACCAGCUGUGCCUCAACAGGCUCCAAUUCAGAACCACACAAAACUGCCUCUGACUACAUUCCAGGGUCUUACAGGGUCACCCAGGAACCCGCUGCAGUGGCAAAGAUGAAAUGUGAGAUCAGCAAGCAUCCAUUGUGUUGAUCACAAAGCAGCAGCCCACAGUGAAAUAUGUGUGGGUUAUAUGCUAUGGGAUUUCCACUACUUCGUUUAAGGAACUGCAGAGAGAUGCUGUACUAGUCAGCUCCCUCAUUGUCAUGACCAGAUGGAUACCUUAUGGAAACAAGAGGAGGAAAGACCUCAGUGCUUGAGCCCACUGCCCUGGUCCUGCUGAUUCCAGGCCCACAGAAGGCAGAACUCUGUGACAGCAGGACAGGGAAGAGGAGGCUGUCCACCUCGUGGCAGGUAAAACAGAUGUGAAUCUUGCUACGGGUGGCAGGGGUGGAGGAAGGAGCAGAGAACGGAUAAUAGUAGACUUAAUCAAAGUCCCCAAAAGAUGUUUCCUGGAACCUGUGAACAUGUGCCCUUCUAAGAUAAAGGGCCUUCCCAGAUGAAAUUAAGGAUUUGCUGAGAUCACCGAGGCAGGCCUGAAGGAAUUAUGGAGCAAUCAUGAGAGGCAAGAAGAGCAAUGUCAGCAAGAUCUAAGAAAGGAAGCAGAUAUCAGGAAGGAGAAAAGAUGCUAGGGUGCUGACUCUGGCUGGGAAGGAUGGGGCCAAGCAAAGCAGGCACCUCUAGGACCCAGAUUCUCUCCUGGAGCCUGCAGAAGAAGCACAGGCCUACCAACACCUUGAGUUCAGUCUGAUGACUGUGAGUUUGAACCUCUGAUUCCCAGCACUGACAGAAGGUGAAAGACCUGAGAAACCUAGGAUGCUCAUGUGAUUUGAAACCAUCUGUUCCAGAAGCAAGGGGAGCUGAGCUAAGAAGCAGUAUUCCCUCUAGAAAGAACCAUUCAGAACCUUUCCAUCUGAGAGAGCAGGACCUUGGCUGGGAUGAUGACUUUGAAAGCCAAUCUGCCUGCACUUCAAAGCAGUGACCUGCUGUGGGAUCUAUAAGGGGCUUUGAAGUUGUCACCCAGAAUUUUCUCUGGGAAAAUUUACUUUAUACUUUACUUUAAGACUUGAUUAUAUU